CAAAACGUAGCUCAAUUGGCAGAGCAAAGGUUUUUUCAUCCUUUCUGACCUUGAUUGCCGGUUCAAAUCCGGUCGUUUUGC
rnacentral:tRNA from 1 species